UCUUAUCCUGAGCUGGUGGAGGGACAGACCCGAUGAAGCCCAGCAACCUGCUAUAUGUAAAAUAAUCACAUAUUUGAUUAUUUUUGUAGCAAAGGUGCUCAACUGAUGCAAGGCAUUGGUCCUUGAACGAUAAGA
rnacentral:ncRNA from 1 species